rfam:Gossypium raimondii chromosome 6, whole genome shotgun sequence.
AGGUGCGACCAUACUAGCAUAAAUGGAUUGGAUUCAUCUGAAUUCCAUAGCUAACUGUGUUUGAACGAAAGUAGUAUUAGGAUGGGUUACCUCUUAGGGAGUUUUCGUGUUGCACCUC